CCUACGGGCGGCAGCAGUGGGGAAUAUUGCACAAUGGGCGCAAGCCUGAUGCAGCCAUGCCGCGUGUGUGAAGAAGGCCUUCGGGUUGUAAAGCACUUUCAGCGGGGAGGAAGGCGGUGAGGUUAAUAACCUCAUCGAUUGACGUUACCCGCAGAAGAAGCACCGGCUAACUCCGUGCCAGCAGCCGCGGUAAUACGGAGGGUGCAAGCGUUAAUCGGAAUUACUGGGCGUAAAGCGCACGCAGGCGGUCUGUCGAGUCGGAUGUGAAAUCCCCGGGCUCAACCUGGGAACUGCAUUCGAAACUGGCAGGCUAGAGUCUUGUAGAGGGGGGUAGAAUUCCAGGUGUAGCGGUGAAAUGCGUAGAGAUCUGGAGGAAUACCGGUGGCGAAGGCGGCCCCCUGGACAAAGACUGACGCUCAGGUGCGAAAGCGUGGGGAGCAAACAGGAUUAGAUACCCGGGUAGUC
rnacentral:rRNA from 1 species